GGGUUGUGAGGUUAAGCGACUAAGCGUACACGGUGGAUGCCCUGGCAGUCAGAGGCGAUGAAGGACGUGCUAAUCUGCGAUAAGCGUCGGUAAGGUGAUAUGAACCGUUAUAACCGGCGAUUUCCGAAUGGGGAAACCCAGUGUGUUUCGACACACUAUCAUUAACUGAAUCCAUAGGUUAAUGAGGCGAACCGGGGGAACUGAAACAUCUAAGUACCCCGAGGAAAAGAAAUCAACCGAGAUUCCCCCAGUAGCGGCGAGCGAACGGGGAGCAGCCCAGAGCCUGAAUCAGUGUGUGUGUUAGUGGAAGCGUCUGGAAAGGCGCGCGAUACAGGGUGACAGCCCCGUACACAAAAAUAC
rnacentral:rRNA from 1 species